rnacentral:lncRNA from 1 species
CGUAUAUACAAAAUGUAGGCCUGGUAUCGAUGAUGAGUUUAUAUAGAACAAAUAUAUAGACAUUUCCAUUCUCAAUUUUAUGUAUGUCCAUGAGAAAACAACACAAUACUUGAAAAGUUUGUUUUAGACCUCAAAACUGAAAAUAAUAAACUAGUUGAAAGUAGAUCAAUCACAAGAAAGAUUAGAUUUUGGUUCACAAAGUUUCCUUUAACAAAAAGUGUUAUUGUUAUUUCAUGCAUUAAUUGUCAACAAAAAUCUAAGGUGAGCGACACAGGGUCCUUGGACCCUCUAGUUUUCUUUCACAUUUCAAAUUGAACCAGUAGUACUUUAUCCUUUUGUAGUUUCAAAUGAUCAACAAUCUUAAAUAUGAAGGAACACAUCUUUUAAAAUGCAAGAAUUGGUAAUGCUUCUUUUAGAAACUUUUUGAGAAAAAUUGUAAUAGAAUGUCUUGAAGUUUUAAAAAACUUACUUGAUUUUUAAAACAAAAUUUGGCUCAAAUGAAUUGUAAUUCAUUGUUAAUCAUUUUACUGUAUAUACAUUUUAAUGACAAUGAACUUCUGUUCUAAGAGUGUUCAAAAGUUAUCUCCCCUUAAUGUGUAUGCUUUUCGCUCAUGUUCAUUAAAAAAUGUCUGGAUUUCAAUGCAAAGCUAUUACAUGUAUUACUAGACACAUAUAUUAUGUCUCUAAAUAAUUAGAUCCUGGUAUGAAGAGCAAUGGUGAGAAAAUCUAUUCGUUUGCCUAAUAUAUGUGUUUUCAACUUGAUAAGUCAGUAUAAUUGGAUAACAGUGGACUGGAUAUGUGUUUGAAAUGUAUGUAAAUGAAAAACGCUUUCAUAAGAAUUACCAAAUCAACUGUAUUAUGAAGAGGCUAAUAUUGGGUGUUUUUUUUUUUCUUAUAAGUAAUUAUUUGUUACAAAUCAAUAGGUAAAAAAUCAUUAAAUAAUUGUUUCCGACUGUUUUAUUACAUGUAUUAGUUAUAAUAAAUAAUGAAUCUCCACAGACUUGUAAUCAUUGUAUCAGAAACUUUGAUAUUAAUGUGCUUGAGAAUACAGUUUGCUGAAAGUCUGACUUCUCAAAUAGAUUGUUAAUUGCUGUUUUAAUAUUGUUGUUUCUAGGUAUUGUGUGUCCAAAAUGC